AAUAGCUUCGAAGGAGAAGGACUUGCAGCUUUUGUAAGCUUCUUCACAUAUAUAUAUUUUUUUGAAUACCAGGAGGUUCUGGGCCGAAACCACAGCAUGUAAUAUUAGUUUCGUCCCAAGCGUCACUCGAACCGGCGACCUCUAAGUUUCUUCACAUAUCAGUUUUUGUUUUUCUAAUCUUCAAAAACUUUUGGUGUAGGCAUGGAAAAGAUGGGUUGAAGGAAAGCCUGAGAUUAUAAUUGAUCCGUUCUUAAUAGAGAAACCAAGAAAUGAGAUCAUAAAGUUGAU
rnacentral:sRNA from 1 species